AAAACCAAAAACGCCUGCUGGAAGAUUAAUAAGAUUAUUGGUCAGGCUUCUUUCACUUCAUUAUCUCUGCUUUCCACAGAAGUCAUCACUGCAAUCCCAAUGAUUUACUGUGGACCAGGACGGAGUCAACAAAGUAGGACUGAAUUCUCUAGCCUGUGAGCUGGACCUCAUGGUCCAAUCAUGCAUCUAGUAACUGCAUGCAGAGAAGAGCUUCUAUUUGGUGAAAGUGUGUGGCCACCACUAUGGUAAAGUCUUCUCUUGUCGCAGAUCUCUGUGGAGACUUCGCUGUGUGUCCAGAAUUUAUGGGGGGAAAGGCAGAACAACGGACAACAACUAACUAUAAACCAAGAGCAUGAAGAAAGAGCAGCCUCUUCUAGGUCCCUUUCUUUCCAUGUGAAGAUAAUAUAGACCAAAUACUUAUGGAAUAUUUAAUACCGAUGUGCCAGAAUUACGCACAAGAAUUGUCAACAGAGACUUUAUAGCUCUCCUAAGUAAACGCUGCUCAUGUUCACUAUUGGUACAAUAACCACCAACCACAUUACCCAAGAUUAAUUUGCUCCGGUGUAAGGUUGCUGAACAAGCCAAUAAAUAUACUGUAUGGGAGCAAAAGACACCAAGACAAAACAGCAUCCUUGGAGUCCCACACGUAUUGUUGUACUCCACUGAAUUACAGAGCACAGAAAGAACUGAUUUUCAGAAACCAGUUUGAGAUGGUUUUGCCAGCUGAGUUCCAUCAGCAAUGGCCUCCGUGUGGAAGAGGUAAGAAUCCUUAAACUUUUUCUCUGAUAU
rnacentral:lncRNA from 1 species